AACCUAAAGACCCCUCCCAUUUUUCCCCUUCCGUUUCUCACACCCAACAUUCUAGUUUAGCCGCCCCCAAAUUCUAUCAUUUCAUAAGCCGGCGGCGGCUACCAUAAUUCCUCCAAACCCACCCAAAUCCUCAUCCUGUAUUCUUCUUCCCCUCAUCAUCCUAUAGCCCUUUUUGGUUUCCUUCAAAAUACCCUAGAACUCCUCUUUUUUCAGAUCUAAAAACGACCAGAAACGCUAGGCUUUGUUUCCAAUAUUCUCCGUUGAUUUUAACCUAUUUUGAGUUAAAACUAAUAUUAGCUAAUAAUUCUUGGCAAAGAUCCGUCAAUUAAUAUAAGUUCUAAUUUAUUUGGAAUCAUUGAAAUUCGGCCGAGCUUCAGAGAUCCGUUUCGGAAUCGUUCUUCGCUUUUCUCGAUAGGUAUAUUUCUUGUCCUCCUUGCCUUAUUCUGGUAUUUUUAUUCAUUCUAAAAAAUUUAAAGAAAAUAAUGUUUAUUUUAUUGGUUUAAUUUGUUCAACUGUUGUUCGGAUUAGACUUUUCUUUCUUUUUGAUUAAUUAACUAGCUAGAUUUUAGGUCAUAGCAUUAGUUUAAUUAUGUCUCUGAAUUUCUUUGAUUUAUUUGAUUGCUAUGUUUGGGUCUCCUAUUGGGCUUCUAUUGUCUUCGAUUUGGGCAGAAGAAGCCCAUUCGUUUGGGCCUGAGUCUUAGGGUCAGAUGGCCCAUGUUUGAUUUAGUUUGUGAAGUAAAUACAGUGGUGUUAGGGGGUUAUUUUGGACAUCUUAAGCUUGAAAAAUAUUUUCUGUUAGGGGAGAAUCUAGAGGAUAAGCUAAGGCCUGCAUUCCAAGAAAUAAAGAAAGCUCAGCUGUUUUCAUGGACUAUGAGGUGAAAUAACUAAGUUUAAAGGGGUAGAAAGGGGAAUUAGGGAAUCAGGAUAUGGCUGCCCUAGAAGUGCCUAUAUAAGGAUCUUUUUCCUCACUUAUUAGGGCAGAUUUCAGACCCUGAAAAUACUCCAAAAAAGUUCUGCACGGUUUCAUUAGGAGCUGGUUUUUAUUUCUUCUGAUUUUCUUUAGCAAGAAUUUAGAAAAACUUUCUUUGUAUUUCUGGUUUUCCGAUUCAAAAUUUGGAUUGAUAUUAGGGCUGUUGUUAGUUGAUAUUGUUGUUUUCAUUGGUGAAUUUCUUACUCCACUCUAUUCUUUGAUGUAUCUAGGUACUUCUCGAACUUUGAGUGGCCAUUGGAAUGCAAGCAUGUUCUUCUUUGUUUUCUCUUUGAAAGAUAUAUUUGUAAUAUGAAAUUCAUGUUUAGAUUUUAAGUUUCAGUUUAUCUUUAUAUGUAUCUCCUUGUCCCUGUGAUAAUUUUCUUUUCUUUUACUAUCUGUGUCUCCCUUCUCAAGCCACAUUUAGAGAACUUUUUUGUUGAUUUAACAUUUUGUAUCCAUAAUAUCGAAAAAAAUGUACAAGGUAGAGCUCUAGUAGUAGCUUUGACUUGCUACUACUCCUUUACAUCACAAUUAUCUCUAUUAAGUAUCUAACUGCUCUUCACUAAUUACAACUAAGUAUAGAAGUUAGCUAGUACAAAUCAUACUAUGGAAAACUAUUAAGUUGCCUCAAUCCAUUUUGUCAGCGACUACAAUCCCUUCCUCGAAUAUGGAUAUGUAAAACAACUUCUCUGCAAAUCUGAUUCCUCAUAGACUUUCUUUUCAAAUCUGAUACUGUUUCUCUCCCUCCAGAUUAAUGCAAUAGUACUGAUAAACACACUAGCUGUUAUAGCAUUUAAUCCCUGUUUGCUCUUUGCUUUGCUGUUUACCCAUUGCAGUUCAGUUUCCCAGUCUCCAACUAAUCUUUGAUGUCCCAGCCAUAAACAGAGUCUAGUCCACAGCUGUCUCGUAAUUGUGCAUUCAAAAAAUAAGUGUUUAAAGGAUUCAACAUUCUGCUUACAGAAUACACAUGUUGCAGGCACUUGGAUGCCAAUUUUCUGCAAUCUGUCCACUGUUGGCAGCUUCUGAUGUGCAGCUAACCACAUAGUGAAACGAUGUCUAGGAUGAACAUUGGCAAGCAACAACAAGUUCUUCCAUUCAACUUUGUUGUUAUUAGGAAUCAGAGUGAGAUACAUCUUCUUGAUGAAAUUGAUCCAGUUUGCACAUGCCUUGUAAUCUGCUAAGCAAAUUCCCCUGAAGCAACUGAUUCCCCAUAAUGGCAUCUCGACUGUCCAGUAUUUUCCUCACAACCCAAGAAGCAGAGUAAUUAUUGUUCCAAUAGCUUCCUGUUUAAUGUAGUAGCUGUGCACCCACUUUAUCCAAAGGCAGUCCUUCUUUCUAGUUAAAUCCCAAAGAUGCUUGCAGAUUGCUACUUUGUUCCAUGCCUUCAUGUCUAGGAUAUUCAGUCCACCUGCUGUACUUGGUCUGCAUACCCUUUCCCAAGAAACUAGAGCCUUCCUAGAUGGAUUAGCUCUUUCAGUCCAAAAAAAUGUUCUGUAGAUAGUUUCAAUAAUUUUCAUCACUUUCUUAGGCAUAAUGAAAAUUUGAGCCUAGUAGGUUUGCAUUCCAAAAAUGACAGCUUUGAUCAGCUGACAUCUUCCAGCAUAGGAAAGUAAUUUGCAGACCAGCAUGUUAUCUUAGCUGUUAUCUUCUCAAUCAGUGGCAAAUAGUGACAGAUAGCCAGUUUCUUGGAGUCUAAGGGUAUCCCCAGAUACCUAAAUGACAGCUCUCCUUCA
rnacentral:lncRNA from 1 species